UACGAAGGGUGCAAACGUUGCUCGGAAUCAUUGGGCGUAAAGCGCACGUAGGCGGCUUCAAAAGUCGGAUGUGAAAUCCCUCGGCUCAACCGAGGACGUGCAUCCGAAACUGCGGAGCUUGAGUAUGGAAGAGGGUCGCGGAAUCCCCGGUGUAGAGGUGAAAUUCGUAGAUAUCGGAAGGAACAUCAGUGGCGAAGGCGACUUCCUGGACCAAUACUGACGCUCAGGUGCGAAAGCGUGGGGAGCAAACAGG
rnacentral:rRNA from 1 species